ACAGCCCAAAUUUGAAAUCUGCUCUAGGGCCCGAGUUGUAAUUUGAGAGGUCCCCACGAAGCGCCUGCCGAGUCCUGGAACGGGGCGCCGUAGAGGGUGAGAGCCCCGUGCGGGGACGCCCAGCCUAUGCGUGGGGCCUUCGAAGAGUCGAGUAGCUUGGGAAUGCUGCUCUAAGCGGGAGGUAUAUUCCUUCUAAGGCUAAAUACCUGCCAGAGACCGAUAGCGCACAAUUAGAGUGAUCGAAAGAUGAAAGGCACUUUGGAAAGAGGGUUAAACAGUACGUGAAAUUGCUGAAAGGGAAGCGCCUGCGGGCAGACUCGUGCCCCGCGGAUCAUCCGACGGUCGUCCCGGGUGCACUCCGCGGGGUCGGGCCAGCGACGGUUCUCCCGGGGGGACAAAAGCCGGGGGAACGUAGCUCCCCUCACGGGGAGUGUUAUAACCCCGGGUCAAAUGCCUCCAAGGGGGGCCNAGGAACGGNCCAAGGAGCUGUGUAUGCGCGGGACCNUCUUGAAANAGGGNCCAAGGGGUCCAANNUCGGGCCCAGUGCAGGGGUGUAAGCCCCUGCGGGAAGUGAAAGCGAAAGCUCGGGAGGGUUGGCGCAUGGGUGAGUGGUGUUGAAUUCUUCUGAGUGAUGUG
rnacentral:rRNA from 1 species